rnacentral:rRNA from 1 species
CAUGUCCUUUUGAUAAUUAAUUUUAGGUUUAAUCUGCUCAAUGAUUAUUAUUAAAUGGCCGUGGUAUACUGACUGUGCAAAGGUAGCAUAAUAAUUAGUUUUUUAAUUGUAAACUGGUAUGAAUGGUUGGACAAGGGAUUUUCUGUCUCUUUGAUAUUUAUUUUGAAUUUAACUUUUUAGUAAAAAGUCUAAAAUUUGUCUUAAAGACGAGAAGACCCUAUAGAGUUUUACAUAUUUGAUUUUGAGGGUUUUCUGGAAUUUUUUUAUUUUCAUUUCUAUUUUGUUUAAUUGGGGUGAUUGGGGAAUUAAUUUAACUUCUUUAUCUAUUUUUUACUAAUAAGUAUUUAUUUUGUCUAAAUUUUUUAAGUUUAAAUUAAAUUACCUUAGGGAUAACAGCGUUAUUUCUUUUUUGAGUUCUUAUUGUUAAAGAAGUUUGCGACCUCGAUGUUGGAUUAAAAUUUAUGUUGGGUGUAGUGGUUUAAACAUUUAAGUCUGUUCGACUUUUGAAAUUUUACAUGAUCUGAGU